rnacentral:rRNA from 1 species
AUCGAUGAAGAACGCAGCGAAAUGCGAUAAGUAAUGUGAAUUGCAGAAUUCAGUGAAUCAUCGAAUCUUUGAACGCACAUUGCGCCCUUUGGCAUUCCGAAGGGCAUGCCUGUUCGAGCGUCAUUACAACCACUCAAGCACUCGCUUGGCCUUGGGGCACCCGGCGUCGGGGCCCUCAAAACCAGCGGCGGUGCUCGUCAGCUCUACGCGUAGUAAUACUCCUCGCGUCUGGCCCUGGCGAGCCACCGGCCGGCAACCCCCCACACUUCUCAGGUUGACCUCGGAUCAGGUAGGGAUACCCGCUGAACUUAAGCAUAUCAAUAAGCGGAGGAAAAGAAACCAACAGGGAUUACCUCAGUAACGGCGAGUGAAGCGGUAACAGCUCAAAUUUGAAAGCUGGCUCUUUCAGGGUCCGCGUUGUAAUUUGCAGAAGAUGCUUCGGGUGUGGCCCCGGUCUAAGUUCCUUGGAACAGGACGUCAUAGAGGGUGAGAAUCCCGUAUGUGACUGGGCGCCUCCGCCCAUGUGAAGCUCUUUCGACGAGUCGAGUUGUUUGGGAAUGCAGCUCAAAAUGGGUGGUAAAUUUCAUCUAAAGCUAAAUAUUGGCCAGAGACCGAUAGCGCACAAGUAGAGUGAUCGAAAGAUGAAAAGCACUUUGGAAAGAGAGUUAAACAGUACGUGAAAUUGUUGAAAGGGAAGCGCUUGCAACCAGACUUGCGCGUAGGUGAUCAUCCGGGCUUCUGCCCGGUGCACUCGCCUGCGCUCAGGCCAGCAUCGGUUUCGGUGGUGGGAUAAAGGCCGUGGGAACGUAGCUCCCCUCGGGGAGUGUUAUAGCCCUCGGUGCAAUGCCGCCUACCGGGACCGAGGACCGCGCUUCGGCUAGGAUGCUGGCGUAAUGGUUGUAAGCGACCCGUCUUGAAACACGG